rnacentral:rRNA from 1 species
UACGUAGGGUGCGAGCGUUGUCCGGAAUUACUGGGCGUAAAGAGCUCGUAGGUGGUUUGUCGCGUUGUUCGUGAAAACUCACAGCUCAACUGUGGGCGUGCGGGCGAUACGGGCAGACUGGAGUACUGCAGGGGAGACUGGAAUUCCUGGUGUAGCGGUGGAAUGCGCAGAUAUCAGGAGGAACACCGGUGGCGAAGGCGGGUCUCUGGGCAGUAACUGACGCUGGGGAGCGAAAGCGUGGGGAGCGAACAGG